CGCAUUUAAGAGGAAUAAGCAAUGAAAAUGAGAUACUAAAGUAAACCCAACCCCGAGCGGUAACUAAUGUCGGUGAUCUUGUCAAGACAGAACGAAAAUUAUUAUUAUUGUCAGCAACAGCAACGGUGGCAAAUAUUGACCCUCAAGAUGAGAUAUUAGCUAUUCAAGGUCCGGAAUCUCAGAAAACGAACGAUGACAAUGAUGAUAUAUGGUCUUAUUUUGAUAACACUGUGAGUUGUAGUUCCAAUCUUGCAGAUUCUGAUGAGGCUGGAGGAUUACCAAUACAAUUACGACAAUAUUUGACACGCCCGGCUGCCAAUCGGAAACAAAAUCCUAAUCCGUUCACUGUGUGGGAAAUUGCAACGUCUGUACACUGUGAGCGAUUAUUUUCACAUGCAGGACUUAUCGCAAAUUAGUUGAGGAGUCGCUUAUCACCUCAGCAUCUUAAUGAGCUAAUAUUUUUAAAAUCAAUCGGCGAAGAAAUGUGGUUUUCGUAGUUAUUUAUUUUUAAAUUUUUUGUUUUUUAAUUAAAAAAAGCAAUUUUGUUAUCCAAUACCAAAUU